rnacentral:rRNA from 1 species
AGAUUGAACGCUGGCGGCAGGCCUAACACAUGCAAGUCGAGCGGCAGCACGGGUACUUGUACCUGGUGGCGAGCGGCGGACGGGUGAGUAAUGCCUAGGAAUCUGCCUGAUAGUGGGGGAUAACGCUCGGAAACGGACGCUAAUACCGCAUACGUCCUACGGGAGAAAGCAGGGGACCUUCGGGCCUUGCGCUAUCAGAUGAGCCUAGGUCGGAUUAGCUAGUUGGUGGGUAAUGGCUCACCAAGGCGACGAUCCGUAACUGGUCUGAGAGGAUGAUCAGUCACACUGGAACUGAGACACGGUCCAGACUCCUACGGGAGCAGCAGUGGGAAUAGUUGGACAAGUGGGACGAAAGCCUGAUCCAGCCAUGCCGCGUGUGUGAAGAGGUCUUCGGAUUGAGAGCUACGUUUAAGGUUGGAAGGAAGGG